GAUGAACGCUGACAGAAUGCUUAACACAUGCAAGUCGAUGGGGAAGUGGUGCUUGCACCAUGGUAACCAUGGCGGACGGGUGAGUAACGCGUAAGGAACUUGCCUGCGGGACUGGGAUAACAGCAGGAAACUGCUGAUAAUACCGGAUAAGGUCAUUAAGCUGCAUAGCUUAGUGAUGAAAGGAGACGCCUGCGGAGAGCCUUGCGUCCUAUUAGCUAGUUGGAGGGGUAACGGCCCACCAAGGCGAAGAUAGGUAGCCGGCCUGAGAGGGUGGACGGCCACAAGGGGACUGAGAUACGGCCCUUACUCCUACGGGAGGCAGCAGUGGGGAAUAUUGGACAAUGGGGGCAACCCUGAUCCAGCAAUUCUGUGUGCACGAAGACGGUUUUCGGAUUGUAAAGUGCUUUCAGCAGGGAAGAAGGAAGUGACAGUACCUGCAGAAGAAGCGACGGCUAAAUACGUG
rnacentral:rRNA from 1 species